AUGGUUGGGAUAGCUCAGUUGAAAAGACCCAGACUGAAA
rnacentral:tRNA from 1 species